rnacentral:rRNA from 1 species
AUUGAACGCUGGCGGCAGGCUUAACACAUGCAAGUCGAGCGGAGAUGAGGUGCUUGCACCUUAUCUUAGCGGCGGACGGGUGAGUAAUGCUUAGGAAUCUGCCUAUUAGUGGGGGACAACAUUCCGAAAGGAAUGCUAAUACCGCAUACGUCCUACGGGAGAAAGCAGGGGAUCUUCGGACCUUGCGCUAAUAGAUGAGCCUAAGUCGGAUUAGCUAGUUGGUGGGGUAAAGGCCUACCAAGGCGACGAGCUGUAGCGGGUCUGAGAGGAUGAUCCGCGACACUGGGACUGAGACACGGCCCAGACUCCUACGGGAGGCAGCAGUGGGGAAUAUUGGACAAUGGGGGGAACCCUGAUCCAGCCAUGCCGCGUGUGUGAAGAAGGCCUUAUGGUUGUAAAGCACUUUAAGCGAGGAGGAGGCUACUGAGACUAAUACUCUUGGAUAGUGGACGUUACUCGCAGAAUAAGCACCGGCUAACUCUGUGCCAGCAGCCGCGGUAA